AGAGUUUGAUCCUGGCUCAGAACGAACGCUGGCGGCGUGGAUAAGACAUGCAAGUCGAACGGGAUAACAUCUGUAGCAAUACAGGUGUUAUUUAGUGGCGAACGGGUGCGUAACACGUGGGGAAUCUGCCGAGAAGUGGGGGAUAGCUCGCCGAAAGGCGAAUUAAUACCGCAUAUGGUCAGUGAAGACAUCUUCACAACACCAAAGCCGGGGCAACCUGGCGCUUCUUGAUGACCCCGCGGCCUAUCAGCUAGUUGGUGAGGUAAUGGCUCACCAAGGCUAUGACGGGUAGCUGGUCUGAGAGGACGACCAGUCACACUGGAACUGAGACACGGUCCAGACACCUACGGGUGGCAGCAGUCGAGAAUUUUUCACAAUGGGGGCAACCCUGAUGGAGCGACGCCGCGUGGAGGAUGAAGGCUUUCGGGUUGUAAACUCCUGUCAUUUGAGAACAAGGUGCAUCGAUUAACUGUCGAUGCAUUGAUAGUAUCAGAAGAGGAAGAGACGGCUAACUCUGUGCCAGCAGCCGCGGUAAUACAGAGGUCUCAAGCGUUGUUCGGAUUCAUUGGGCGUAAAGGGUGCGUAGGUGGCGGGGUAAGUCAGGUGUGAAAUUUCGGAGCUCAACUCCGAAACUGCAUUUGAUACUGCCUUGCUUGAGGACUGGAGAGGAGACUGGAAUUCACGGUGUAGCAGUGAAAUGCGUAGAUAUCGUGAGGAAGACCAGUGGCGAAGGCGGGUCUCUGGACAGAUCCUGACACUGAGGCACGAAGGCCAGGGGAGCAAACGGGAUUAGAUACCCUCGUAGUCC
rnacentral:rRNA from 1 species